AAUAAAUAUAUAUAUAUAUAUAUAUAUAUAUAUAUAUAACUUUGUAAGAAAUAAAAAAAUUGUCAGAUGACGAGGACCAGAGCUUUUAAGGAGUUUUGCCAUGUUGUGUAAAAUCAAAACAACAUUAAAAUAUCCAAUAUUGUAAGUGUUAUAAUAGAUAGAUAAAAUGCAAGGAAGGGAAGAAGAGUGUGGUCAUACAAAGACUGGCAAAUCUGAAGAGACUCUCAGGCCCAGUGUUCUGUUGCUUCUUCUACAGCACUUGAUGCUCAUGUCUCUCUGACUACUCUUUCCUCACUUCCCAAUUUUUUCUCUCUUCACAUCUUUCUAUAUUUAAGCUUUAAGCUUUGCUUACUACAAAAACAAAACUAAAAUCAUAAGAGCACCCACAAUAGUAGAAUAUGUCAAGUGGGGUUUUUAGCCAAAUAAUAUUAAUAUCUUCAUAUAAUAUAAUUAUAUAAUUAAUUUUAUAUUCUGAUGAGCUAUGUAGAAAAAUGUGGUAUCUGUCGUUCUUUAGGUGUCACAAAAUGGUAAAUAAGGAAAAAAGAAAAAUGUUUUAUUUGUGAAGUAGAGAGCACGGAAGAGACCAUUGGAUAAAGUGGGGGACUAGGUUUGUUUGGUUGCAACUUGCAAGUGAAGUGAAUACCUUUGUUUUUAAAAAUAAAUUGUGAAAUAUUUUGUCGUUUUUAUUAAAUAUUUUUGCAGGCAUUAGUUUUAUAGAAUCUAUCUAUCUAUAAUAAUAAAACAGGUUUUUCUCUCACCUCAGCCCUCCAUGUCAUCAUUCAGCAUGGGGCAUUCUUCGACACGUGGCGAUUCUUAAUUCUUGGACUCACGUUUUUUUUCGUUCACUAAAGCUUCUAUUAUUUGGGCUUCCAACGAAAUUUAUAUUGAUAUCUGUGGGUUGGCUAAUUUAUUGGACUAGCUUAGUGAAAACAUGCACAAACCCGUGAUGUUUUAAUGUAUAAACCCAAUAACUUCAUCUCUCCCUUGACAAAGUCUGCUGCAUUGUCGAUCGAAGUUCCAUCACUUUGCUAAGACGACGGGAUGUCGUAACUGUUUGUAGUUUACAUUCAAUAGUCGUCAUUUAUGAUGGCUUUAACAUCACCGACCCACGUCUCCCACUAUCCAUCAUUCAAUGGACUCUCCUUGCUCAAAGGCUCCCAAUCUACACUUAUAAAUAAGGGUUUUCUAUUCUGUCAGAUUCAUCAGUUUCUCCUUCACAGGCAUUAGAAUCCUUAGAAAACUGCACACCAGUCAUGGCUGCCUCAUCGAUUCUGACAAAUCUCUGAAGAGAUGACGAAGCCACCAUGGAUACGUUCGAUGAUCAUUCAACAAUCUUCUUUUAGAAAUUAAUUUCAGUGUUGAAACUGGUGAGUACCUUAGGGAUCGUAUUCGAAUAUGUGAUUACUCAAUAAUGAUCGUAUCUUGCAGAUUUGUUUUCUUCGUUCUUCUUCUUUGGUGGGUGCAGAUUUAUUUGUGCCGAGUACUGGAGAUGAUUAGAAGAUAUCUCUGUGUCUGAAAGAUGGGAAUAGUUUAGCAGUUCCGGUUGCUGUGAAGAACGAUGGUGGUAGUGAGGUAUAACUUACGCGACACCCAGACAUUAAACGCGUCUUCUUCGUUUAUGAGAGAAUCCACUUUCAAAGCACAUAUCCAGAGAUAACACCAUGACCAUAAACGAAACAAUGAGUAGAGACUAAGAAGAGCGUCGGUUGUUGCAGCAGGUGCCUUGAAUGGUGAUUAAAUAGACGAUUCAGGAGAAGAUAAUGAUGACUUCUACUCUGAUUCUGAAAGUGACCACAUCCAUUUUCUAAUAAUGAAAGUAUUCUUUUUCUUAUUUUGUAAUUUCGACCCUCUGUUCUAUAUCAAAUAUGAACCACCUUUAUGAGUUUCAGUUAUUUUGGAGACUCAUCUA